rnacentral:tRNA from 1 species
GGGGACGUAGUACAAUCUGGCUAGUAUGGGGGCCUCCAGAGCCCUGGAUUUGGGUUCAAAACAUUUCUUCGCGGAAGAAAUGAGCAAAGAAGGCGCUCAAGUUGGGCGUAAAGCCCAACGGACCUCAGACGCGGAGGAUUGUGAAAGUCCCAACGUCCCCA